UAGAAAACAAAAUGGUGGUUUCACACACACACACACACACACACCCCGUUUAUUUGAAAAUCUCAUAAAUUGGGUCUACUCAGAAGUAAGUCCCAAUGAGUUCUAUCCUAGUAGAAAACCACAGCACAUGAAAAGUGACCCCAGUCCAGAGAAGUUCUUCAAUUGGGUUUACUCCCAGGUCAUAAAUGUUAUUAUCCUUUUCUGGCUUGCCCAUUCGUCAAUCAGGAGUCACUUUGCUGAAGUGAAGCUUACAGUAAUUUUAAGCCCCUUUCCAUAUCAGGUUUUAUCCACCAUACUGGAGAUUAAAGA